GUGUAUUACUGUAGUGCAGCGGCGGCAUGAAGCGCACGGCGUCAUAGCAACCAAUGACGCCAUGCGCUCCUGCUGUCAGCAAGAUGCCAGGUCGGGAUACCGCGGACCGUUCACGUCCGUGUUCCAUGGCCUUAUACUCUGGAGAUUCC